rnacentral:rRNA from 1 species
AGGACGAACGCUGGCGGUGUGCUUCACACAUGCAAGUCGAACGGAGUAGCAAUACUCAGUGGCGGACGGGUGAGUAACACGUGGGAAUCUACCAUAGAGUGGGGAAUAACUGGCCGAAAGGCUAGCUAAUACCGCAUAUGCCGAAAGGUAAAAGGAGCAAUUCGCUUUAUGAUGAGCCCGCGUCCGAUUAGCUAGUUGGUAAGGUAAAAGCUUACCAAGGCGACGAUCGGUAGCUGGUCUGAGAGGAUGAUCAGCCACAAUGGAACUGAGACACGGUCCAUACUCCUACGGGAGGCAGCAGUGGGGAAUUUUACGCAAUGGGCGAAAGCCUGACGUAGCGACACCGCGUGAGCGAAGAGCCUUUUGGGGUGUAAAGCUCUGUCAACAGGGACGAAAAAAAUGACGGUACCUGUGGAGGAAGCAUCGGCUAACUACGUGCCAGCAGCCGC